GGCUCAGGAUGAACGCUGGCGGCGUGCUUAAGACAUGCAAGUCGAACGAAAAGUUUGUAGCAAUACGAGCUUUUAGUGGCGAAUGGGUGCGUAACACGUAGGUGACCUGCCCUGAAGUGUGGAAUAACAGUCCGAAAGGAUUGCUAAUACCGCAUGUGGUCUUGGUAAUUUGAAAGCCAAGUCUAAAGUAGUAAUACGCUUCAGGAGGGGCCUGCGGUCCAUCAGCUAGUUGGUGAGGUAACGGCUCACCAAGGCGACGACGGAUAGGGGACCUGAGAGGGUGGCCCCCCACAUUGGCACUGACACACGGGCCAAACUCCUACGGGAGGCAGCAGUCGGGAAUAUUGGGCAAUGGGCGAAAGCCUGACCCAGCAACGCCGCGUGCAUGAUGAAGGCCUUCGGGUCGUAAAGUGCUUUUUGGGAGGAUGAGGAAGGACAGUACUCCCAGAAUAAGUCACGGCUAACUACGUGCCAGCAGCCGCGGUAAAACGUAGGUGACAAGCGUUAUCCGGAUUUACUGGGCGUAAAGCGCGUGCAGGCGGCUUAGCAAGUCGGGCAUGAAAUCUCCUGGCCUAACUGGGAGACGCUGUCCGAUACUGUUAGGCUUGAGGGUAGUAGAGGGUGGUGGAAUUCCGCAUGUAGUGGUGAAAUGCGUAGAUAUGCGGAGGAACACCAGUGGCGAAAGCGGCCACCUGGACUACUCCUGACGCUGAAGCGCGAAAGCUAGGGGAGCAAACGGGAUUAGAAACCCCGGUAGUCCUAGCUGUAAACGAUGAUGACUGGGUGUCGGCGAUUAAAAACCGUCGGUGCCGUAGCUAACGCGUUAAGUCAUCCGCCUGGGGACUACGGCCGCAAGGCUAAAACUCAAAG
rnacentral:rRNA from 1 species